rnacentral:ncRNA from 1 species
AUAAAUCCGAUGAUAAGGAAGAGUAGUUAAAUUAAGAUUCAAUAUAGAGAGUUGAGGAUGGUGGAAUCUCAACAAGAAAGAUUUAAUGAAUGGACCUUUUAGGAGUAAAUCGAAAUCUAUUUAGAGAGUAGACUUUAUCGUGAGUUGCACGUUACAGCAAUUGAGGUAUGAUAGUAUCAAUAAUUAAGAGGUGUAUUUUAUAGUACACAAUUUAGGUGGCAACGCGGAUAUAACACUCCGUCCUAUUG